rnacentral:misc_RNA from 1 species
GAUGAAGAACGUAGCGAAAUGCGAUAAGUAAUGUGAAUUGCAGAAUUCCGUGAAUCAUCGAAUCUUUGAACGCACAUUGCGCCCCCUGGCAUUCCGGGGGGCAUGCCUGUCCGAGCGUCAUUUCUGCCCUCAAGCACGGCUUGUGUGUUGGGUGUGGUCCCCCCGGGGACCUGCCCGAAAGGCAGCGGCGACGUCCGUCUGGUCCUCGAGCGUAUGGGGCUCUGUCACUCGCACGGGAAGGACCUGCGGGGGUUGGUCACCACUAUAUUUUACCACGGUUGACCUCGGAUCAGGUAGGAGUUACCCGCUGAACUUAAGCAUAUCAAUAAGCGGAGGA